AUUGAACGCUGGCGGCAUGCCUUACACAUGCAAGUCGAACGGCAGCACGGGUGCUUGCACCUGGUGGCGAGUGGCGAACGGGUGAGUAAUACAUCGGAACGUACCUUAUCGUGGGGGAUAACGCAGCGAAAGCUGUGCUAAUACCGCAUACGCCCUGAGGGGGAAAGCGGGGGAUCGAAAGACCUCGCGCGAUUAGAGCGGCCGAUGCCUGAUUAGCUUGUUGGUGGGGUAAAAGCCCACCAAGGCGACGAUCAGUAGCUGGUCUGAGAGGACGAUCAGCCACACCAGGACUGAGACACGGCCCAGACUCCUACGGGGGGCAGCAGUGGGGAAUUUUGGACAAUGGGGGCAACCCUGAUCCAGCAAUGCCGCGUGAGUGAAGAAGGCCUUCGGGUUGUAAAGCUCUUUUGUCAGGGAAGAAACACCGGCUCUAACACAGUCCGGGAAUGACGGUACCUGAAGAAUAAGCACCGGCUAACUACGUGCCAGCCGCCGCCGUAA
rnacentral:rRNA from 1 species